rnacentral:rRNA from 4 species
AGUCUAGCAUGUGCGCGAGUCAUUGGGACUCAAUAAACCUAAAGGCGCAAUGAAAGUGAAAGUCUGUUUACGCGGACUUAGGGAGGAUAGGUGCGUACACUUUGUGUACAACCUCGCACUCCCGGGGCGUCUCGCACUCAUUGCGAGGUGGGGCGCACCAAGAGCGUACACGCUGGGACCCGAAAGAUGGUGAACUAUGCCUGGUCAGGACGAAGUCAGGGGAAACCCUGAUGGAGGUCCGUAGCGAUUCUGACGUGCAAAUCGAUCGUCGGAACUGGGCUUAGGGGCGAAAGACUAAUCGAACCAUCUAGUAGCUGGUUCCCACCGAAGUUUCCCUCAGGAUAGCUGGCACUAGAUUAUGGAUGAGUCUCAUCCGGUAAAGCGAAUGAUUAGAGGCAUUGGGGUCGAAACGGCCUCAACCUAUUCUCAAACUUUAAAUGGGUGAGAUCUCCGGCUUGCUCGAUUUAUGAAGCCGGAGAUCGGAUCAAUUAGUGCCAAGUGGGCCACUUUUGGUAAGCAGAACUGGCGCUGUGGGAUGAACCAAACGCAGAGUUAAAGCGCCAAAAUCGACGCUUAUGGGAUACCAUGAAAGGCGUUGGUAACUUAAGACAGCAGGACGGUGGCCAUGGAAGUCGGAA